rnacentral:ncRNA from 1 species
GUUCAACACAAGCGCAGCGGAAUGCAUUGGGAAGCGCGGUGAGAAUCCGCCACUGCCCCGCAACUGUAAGCGCGCAUCUUCGACCAUGUUUCGAAGACACAUUCUUUUCGUGACACAGCUAUCACUGCGUAAGUGGGAAGACAGCAUGUGCAGGAUACGAAGACUUUGUGCGAUGCGCGUAAGUCAGGAGACCGAUUCCGCUGCUGGUUGUAAGCC